rnacentral:rRNA from 1 species
UUCGGAUCGUAAACCUCUUUUGGCAGGGAAGAACAAGUACCGUUCGAAUAUGGCGGUACCUUGACGGUACCUAACCAGAAAGCGCCGGCUAACUACGUGCCAGCAGCCGCGGUAAUACGUAGGGCGCAAGCGUUGUCCGGAAUUAUUGGGCGUAAAGAGCUCGUAGGCGGUUUGUCGCGUCUGCUGUGAAAGCCCGGGGCUCAACCCCGGGUCUGCAGUGGGUACGGGCAGAACUAGAGUGCAGUUAGAGGGAGACUGGAAUUCCUGGUGUAGCGGUGAAAUGCGCAGAUAUCAGGAGGAACACCGAUGGCGAAGGCAGGUCUCUGGGCUGUUACUGACGCUGAGGAGCGAAAGCAUGGGGGAGCGAACAGGGAUUAGAUACCCUGGGUAGUCCAUGCCCGUAAACGUUGGGCACUAGGUGUGGGGGACAUUUCCACGUUCUCCGCGCCGUAGCUAACGCAUUAAGUGCCCCGCCUGGGGAGUACGGCCGCAAGGCUAAAACUCAAAGGAAUUGACGGGGGCCCGCACAAGCGGCGGAGCAUGCGGAUUAAUUUCGAUGCAACGCGAAAGAACCUUACCAAGGCUUGACAUUCACCGGACUACCUCAGAGAUGGGGUUUCCCUUCGGGGUCGGUGGACAGGUGGUGGCAUGGGUUGUCGUCAGCUCGUGUCGUGAGAUGUUGGGUUAAGUCCCGCAACGAGCGCAACCCUCGUUCUAUGUUGCCAGCACGUGAUGGUGGGGACUCAUAGGAGACUGCCGGGGUCAACUCGGAGGAAGGUGGGGGAUGACGUCAAAUCAUCAUGCCCCUUAUGUCUUGGGCUUCACGCAUGCUACAAUGGCCGGUACAAAGGGUUGCGAUACUGUGAGGUGGAGCUAAUCCCAAAAAGCCGGUCUCAGUUCGGAUUGAGGUCUGCAACUCGACCUCAUGAAGUCGGAGUCGCUAGUAAUCGCAGAUCAGCAACGCUGCGGUGAAUACGUUCCCGGGCCUUGUACAC